rnacentral:lncRNA from 1 species
CAACCCUAUCCUUGCAUUGCUGGGGGGUGGAGGAGAGGGAAAGGAGAGAGAGCUGCUUUAAAUCAAUCAGUUGACACUAAUCUAAUGUCUAAUUAGUUCUGGGUGGGCGUGUGCUUUGAUUAUAGGAAGUGCCUCAGGCUGUGGCUGGUGUUUGAAGGGCUGCUCCACACAUAUCAAUCAUCCUUUGACAAGAUCUGGAAGAAAAAAAAAAACAACAAAAACCACCCCCCAAAAAGGUGACUACUGAGAACAGAAUGUCCCCUCACAUCCAAUAUGGUAUCAGCCCUGACAUCUCUUAAAUACAGAAAAUAACAAGAGGAAGAAUUCGUCUUCAUGAAUUGAAUUGUCAGUUCUGCAGACAAUUAUCAAAAAUUUUACAGGAACACCUUGAGAGAUGUCGAAGUGUUUAUUUCAACAGCCCAAAGAAGAGAACCACAAUAUGGACACUCUCUGUCUUCACAAAUCCCCCAACGCAUGUUUUAUUCAACCUUCCAAUUUUUAGACAAAGAUUCUUGUUAGCCUCAUGAAAGACCUGGAUACUGGGGGAAAGAUGGUAUCAUAUUUUCAAUUAUGAUCAACUCACCUAAUCUGACGGAAGUGGUAAGAAGGAAGCUGGUGUGUAUGCUGAUUGUGAUUUUGAGAAUAAACUCUUACUUCUAAACCACUUACAAAAGUAUUUGCUUUUAGGAAAUGCUGUGUCUGGGUGAGGUACUAGUGGCAGUAACACCUAUUGUACUGUGACAAGUAUUUAAUGGAAUUUAGAAGUAAGGUUGAGCUAAGGAUGCUCCCAAUGUGGCAGGAUUCACAGCAAAGUAUACAAAGGAAAGACUAUGAGUGGAAAGUGACUUGUUAGAAUGUGAGCAGAGAUGUGUCCAGAGCCUCUUCCACCUGCUCGUGUGAAACCCUUAAAAGAUCCUCUAAAGUCUCUCCAGUGGUUCUGUCCAAGUGGAAAGAAGAGAAGGAAUAAGGUAGAGUAGGAAAAGGAGUUCUUCAUGCUUGGGAACGUGAAGAACAUUCUCCUAAAGUAAUGUUCUUAUUUCUAUUAAUCAGCUGUGCAUUGCUCAGGUGAUUUCUGAGAUGAGAUGCAUCAGAAUCCGUGCAUAUCUUUUGUGGUUCCAGAUAACAGCCUACUUCACUAAAAAAAAUCUUCCAGAAUCAUUAAGAGCAUUAAUUUUCAAAACUGUAGAAGGACUAUGGACAUCUUGUGCUUUUAGAGAAUGAACACACAACACAUUUUCUGUUAUAUCAGAGCUUACAGCUUCUAUCAAUUAAGAAAGUAUGGCUCCACUCAAUGAGCUAUAAAGUGAUAGCACAAGAAGGACUUUAGGAAUCAUUGAGCUCCCUUAUCUCUUUGGACAGAUGAGCAAACUGAGACCCAAACAGGAGAGGAGAGGACAAAGUCUUACCCUGGUCGCCUACUGAAUUUGUGGCAGGGUCAAACAACAUUUAUCCCAGAUUCUCAACUGACAUUUCCUUAUACUGUCUUCAUUUUGACCAUUAGCUUGUCAGCUUAAAGGAUUCAAUUAAUUCAAACAGGAUCUUGUAAUUAAAAAAAAUAGAAAAUACAAAAUACAAAAUCAGACUAACUUUCCGUGAGUCACUUUUCCAAAAUGUUUUGUAUCAAUGUGUAACAAACGAG